GGUAAACGUUUUUUUUUCUACAAUGGUUUUUAAGUACACAAAAGCGUUAAUCGAUUCUUUGGUAAAAAACAAUACACUUACACACAUACACAAGCGUACACUCACACUCACGUACACACGAAUAGUGCCGAGUGGUAAAGUGCCGAAGCGUUAUCAUUUUAAUAAUCAAUUCUUUUGUAAUAGUUAAAAGUUAACGAAUACACUU